CAAAGGACGCAGGGCUUAGGAGGCGUAAUUGCACUUGAGGAAUCCUGCGGGUUGUCCCUAAGGUUAAGGGUCCGGUGGUGUAAGAAGACAGUGAAUUUAGUUCCUCGAAGAAGUGGUUUUGAAGUGUUUCUGUUUUCCCUGUUCUCUCGUACAAGGCGAGGGUAAAGACUGAGGAUUAUUAAUCUUUAUGCAUCUGCAGGAGUGAGGAAUCCUUGAAUAUUUUUUUAAUUAACGAGCAGUGCCCCUGGUAGACACAUCACAUAUAUUUCCUCGUUUAAUUUUUAAACCAACUUUUUGAAGGGAAGAGCCAUUUCAACCCGGAUUUAUCUGAUGCCAAAUGAAUGAGAAAUUAAUUUUCCAGAAGAAUUUCAUGUGCUUGGCUACUUGAAAGAUCGCUUUAUACUUGCCUGAAGAUUUUAUUUACUUAUUUGACCGAGGGAGAGACAGUGGAAGAGGAAACACAAGCAGGGGAAGUGGGAGAGAAGCAGGUUUCCUGCCAAGCAAGGAGCUCUGGAUGCUCGGCUUGAUCCCAGGACCCCCGGAUCAUUACCGCAGCGGAAGGCAGACGUCUAACGACUGAGCCACCUAGGCACCC